UACGGAGGGUGCAAGCGUUAUCCGGAUUCACUGGGUUUAAAGGGUGCGUAGGCGGGUUGGUAAGUCCCGUGGUGAAAUCUCCCAAGCUUAACUUGGGAAACUGCCGUGGAUACUAUCAAUCUUGAAUAUAGUGGAGGUGAGCGGAAUAUGUCAUGUAGCGGUGAAAUGCUUAGAUAUGACAUAGAACACCCAUUGCGAAGGCAGCUCGCUACACUAUUAUUGCGCUGAGGCACGAAAGCGUGGGGAUCAAACAGG
rnacentral:rRNA from 1 species